rnacentral:rRNA from 1 species
GAUGAACGCUGGCGGCGUGCUUAACACAUGCAAGUCGAACGGAAAGGCCCAAGCUUGCUUGGGUACUCGAGUGGCGAACGGGUGAGUAACACGUGGGUAAUCUGCCCUGCACUUCGGGAUAAGCCUGGGAAACUGGGUCUAAUACCGGAUAGGACGAUGGUUUGGAUGCCAUUGUGGAAAGUUUUUUCGGUGUGGGAUGAGCUCGCGGCCUAUCAGCUUGUUGGUGUGGUAAUGGCCUACCAAGGCGUCGACGGGUAGCCGGCCUGAGAGAGUGUACGGCCACAUUGGGACAGAGAGACGGCCCAGACUCCGACGGGAGGCAGCAAGGGGGAAUAUUGCACAAUGGGCGCAAGCGUGAGGCAGCGAGGCCGCGUGGGGGAUGACGGCCUUCGGGUUGUAAACUCCGUUCGCGAGGGACGAAGCGUUUUUGUGACGGUACCUGGAGAAGAAGCACCGGCUAACUACGUG